rnacentral:rRNA from 1 species
UACGUAGGGACCAAGCGUUGUCCGGAAUCAUUGGGCGUAAAGAGCGUGUAGGCGGCUUGUUAAGUCUUGCGUGAAAUCUCGGGGCUCAACCCCGAGCGGUCGUGAGAAACUGGCAGGCUAGAGUGCGGGAGAGGAGAGUGGAAUUCCUGGUGUAGCGGUGAAAUGCGCAGAUAUCAGGAGGAACACCGGUGGCGAAAGCGGCUCACUGGCCGGAAUCUGACACUGAGGUGCGAAAGCUAGGGUAGCAAACGGG